UGGGGAAUAUUGGACAAUGGGCGCAAGCCUGAUCCAGCCAUGCCGCGUGAGUGAUGAAGGCCCUAGGGUUGUAAAGCUCUUUCGCCAGGGACGAUAAUGACGGUACCUGGAUAAGAAGCCCCGGCUAACUUCGUGCCAGCAGCCGCGGUAAUACGAAGGGGGCUAGCGUUGUUCGGAAUCACUGGGCGUAAAGCGCACGUAGGCGGAUCUUUAAGUCAGGGGUGAAAUCCCGAGGCUCAACCUCGGAACUGCCUUUGAUACUGGAGGUCUCGAGUCCGGGAGAGGUGAGUGGAACUGCGAGUGUAGAGGUGAAAUUCGUAGAUAUUCGCAAGAACACCAGUGGCGAAGGCGGCUCACUGGCCCGGUACUGACGCUGAGGCGCGAAAGCGUGGGGAGCAAACAGGAUUAGAUACCCUGGUAGUCCACGCCGUAAACUAUGGAUGCUAGCCGUUGGGCAGCUUGCUGUUCAGUGGCGCAGCUAACGCUUUAAGCAUCCCGCCUGGGGAGUACGGUCGCAAGAUUAAAACUCAAAGGAAUUGACGGGGUCAUAGCUGUUUCCU
rnacentral:rRNA from 1 species